rnacentral:rRNA from 1 species
AUUGAACGCUGGCGGCAUGCUUUACACAUGCAAGUCGAACGGUAACAGGGUGCUUGCACCGCUGACGAGUGGCGAACGGGUGAGUAAUACAUCGGAAUGUACCCCGUAAUGGGGGAUAACGCUUCGAAAGGAGUGCUAAUACCGCAUACGCACUGAGGGGGAAAGUGGGGGACCGCAAGGCCUCACGUUAUUGGAGCAGCCGAUGGCUGAUUAGCUAGUUGGUGAGGUAAAGGCUCACAAAGGCGACGAUCAGUAGCGGGUCUUAGAGGACGAUCCGCCACACUGGAACUGAGACACGGUCCAGACUCCUACGGGAGGCAGCAGUGGGGAAUCUUGGACAAUGGGCGAAAGCCUGAUCCAGCAAUGCCGCGUGCGUGAAGAAGGCCUUCGGGUUGUAAAGCGCUUUUGUCUGGGAGCAAAUCCUGGCCUCUAAUACAGGUCGGGGAUGAGAGUACCAGAAGAAUAAGGACCGGCUAACUACGUGCCAGCCGCCGCAGUAAAAC